rnacentral:lncRNA from 1 species
UGGCUAUCACGGUUGUGUGGACACUCAGCUUGAGUGGUGGCUUUGUCCAGCUCAGUAGAGGUUCUGAUCUGUGACCCUAAUGUGGAGAGGUGACUGUCGUGCUGCUGUGUAUUUGUUAAUGUCCUGUACAUAUACAGUACUUUGGAGUCUAGUUCUCAGGGAGCCCUACGACUAGUUAGAGCCUUUGUAAGGAAGCAGAGGGGAUCCUCUCCUGCUGUUUACACAAGAUCAGCUAUGUGUUCUGGUGGUAAGAAAGGCAUCCGUGCCUUCAGCUGAAUCAGAGACCCGAGCAGUGCUCUGACCUGCCCUGUUCCCAGAGAACGCUCAGAGCCUCCACCAAGGAGUCUGUUUCUCAGCUGUAGCCAGCCAGGGCCACUUUGACCUCUUCAUUUUCCCCUGCUUCCAUCCUUCCCCUAUAAAGGUGAGGGGAAGACCUUGUCCCCUACCAUUAUCACAAGCUCAUCACAGGUCUCUUCUGUUGGAUCCAGGAAAUGUGUGUCCCUUAGCUGUGCCUCCAGCAGCCCUGAGCUGCUUGUAGCAACUUCUGCCUAAGGAGCACUGCAUGGUCUUAUACUGUAGUUGUUUCCCAGUGGAGUAAUAAAUGUGGGCUUGUUUGUUGUUUCUUUAAAGCAAGCAGUAGCUGUGUCUAUAUUUAUUUAGAAAUUGCCUGAAGAAGAUUACUCAACUAUUUGAAGACUUAUUUUCUAUAUGCCUUUCUUAAUUUUUUUAUGUUAUAUGUCACCACAAAAAUAUGAACUCCCCAACCCCCUCUCCGUUUUUUGAAAAAGGAAAUGACAUUUAAGAACUUCCUCAUCAGAUUUCUCUUUUUAAAAUAUCUGUAUUAGGAAGAGCAGUCGUUUCCUGCCGUGGUUUUGACUUUUUUUAAAAAAAACUCUAACAUCUUUUAAAGUUUUUUUGCAUAAGUUAAACUGUUCCCAGCUUUAAAUUGUCCUCCCUAUAGGGCAAGUUGGACUAGGUGUUUCUAGUAUCCGCAUUGAGAAGCCCAGUGCUGAGCCACAAUACUCACUAAAAGGCUUUCCCCGUAGAGGUGUGACUGCCCCUAACUGCUAACACGGAUGGUUCACUGCAGUGUAAUGUCCAUCCGCUAGAAUACACCUCAGGUAGUUUUAGAACUUGCAGCAUUUGGUGUUUGUAAUAAGCCAACCAGUUACUUUAUGUUACUCAAUUGCCACGAAUGCAGAGUAAAACUAAUCAAGCUGACAUUCAAGGUCAACACUUAGUAAGGUCAACUCAGGAUCAAGUCUUAGCCUAGAAAGCCGCUUUCUUUACUUCACCACUUUCUGAACAUUCUCUUUGUACCAAUGGGCCUAUAAGAAUCCGUAUAGUCCAGAGUGCAUUGGCCAUCUUUCCUUACCAAUCUAGAACACUGCUGAAUUUAAAGUUGUUUCUUCUUAGAAAAAUGCCUACCUUACUAUUGAAGAUUUUUCCCCAAGUCAUAUAUUUCCCUCUUAGAAAUCAGGCCAGACGGCAGUUCUAGUUUGGAAGUUGGUUACAGUCCUUUGGCUGUUACCAUCUCUAGCCAUUCUGCUUUCUUCUGGAGAAUGAAGAGGAGAAAAGUGCAUUAAAGUACAAAAGGUGUCCUCUCACCCUCGGAAGAUCAACUGACAGGUGUUGGAUGAUCUCCAACAAGUAAAUUUUGUGACCAGUAUAAAGUUGAAUUUGUACCAAUAUCAAACAAAGUCUGACCAAUGUAAAUUAUGUGCACAAUUAGAAUAUCUUCUCCUUAAGGAGAGGUUGCUUGUUUCUGCUUUACCUGGAGUUUCCUUCUUUCGCAUGUGACUGGAAAACGUUUUAACUUUAACUAUCGAGGUGAUUCUUACUUAAGACUUUGAAGUGCUUUUCUCUCUUUUUCUGUCGUUAACACACAUCUUUUCUUGACUUGACUCAAAUUCUCGCCAUUGUUACAGUUUUUUAUGGGGUGUUUGGUGAUUAGUUUGCUGGCUGCCUUGAGGGAGUGAACAGGGCACGGUCAAGCGUCGUUUGAUUGUCUGUUGAAAUACUCUUUAAAUGUCGGCAUUCUCAGGGUAACUGUCAUUUGUUUCAAAGUUGAUGUGAUUGUCUGGGAAAUGGAUGGAUGCUUCCCAAUUCCCAGAAUCCAGAAAAAUGAAACCAGAUGUGAUCAACCUGAACUUGGGACACUCUCGGUCACAAGCGUUGAAGUCACUCAAAAAGGACUAAGCUAGUUAUUUCUCUGUGGGUCCUCUGUGUCUUUGAUGUUUUAAAUUGCUCAGCCCCGCCCCAAUAAAUAAAUAAAUAAAUAAGAAAAGAAAAGAGUUGUAGUUUUUCACAUUGUGGAAUGUGGAGAGGAACUCCUUUUCCUGUCCUGUGUCUCCUCAGCGGAGCCCAGCCCUGCCUGACACAGGAGAAAAGGGUGGCCUGUUGGUCACCUGCCCUUCAGAAUGUAGCCCCAUCUGACUCCUAAAACCCCAGUUUCCUUCAGUGCAGGCUCCAGGAGAGGGCAGAGACCCCAUUCUGGUCACUGCUGAACCCCUGUUUUUAGCAUACUGUGCAUGGGCCUGGCCAAUAGUCACAAGCUUUAAUGGGAGCCAGGGCAGAAGCUGACUGGCUGCUGGGUAGCCUACUUGUCAUGUAAGUCAGUUGGUAAAGUGAGAGUGUUCUUUUUUCUGCUUUUCUCCCGGGACUUUGCUACUGCAGUUCUCAAACAUGGAAGUGAGUUUAAGACCUAGUGAACACCUCCCACCUAGGAUCUGCAGUGACAUUGGGUGUGCUCUGAUUUAAUGCUUCUAUCAUGUAAAUUCUAAUUUCUCCUUAAGGCUGUUCAAUCCUGAAAUAAUUAAACAACUUGAAGUUGUAUAAAAUUCUCCUUGGAAACUUGUGAUAUUUUAUUGUAAUUUAUCUUGUAGCUUCUGCUUUAUGCCAACUUAAAAUUUGUGGAAAUGUUGUGAGGAACUUUACUCUUAUGUCUUUGUCUACAGGAGUAUUUUUAUAAAGGAUUUAUUUGC